AUCUAGCCCCGAUUGUAGCGGCAUCCUUUUUCUGUGCGAGCGAAGCGAGCGCAGAAAAAGAUAUAGCGGAAAGCGGGUGAGACU
rnacentral:sRNA from 1 species